UACAGAGGGUGCGAGCGUUGUUCGGAAUUACUGGGCGUAAAGCGCACGUAGGUGGCUCCGUAAGUCGGGGGUGAAAGCCCCGGGCUCAACCUGGGAAUUGCAUUCGAGACUGCAUUGCUGGAGUACGGAAGAGGAAGGCGGAAUUCCCGGUGUAGCGGUGAAAUGCGUAGAUAUCGGGAGGAACAUCAGUGGCGAAGGCGGCCUGCUGGUCCAGUACUGACACUCAAGUGCGAAAGCGUGGGGAGCAAACAGG
rnacentral:rRNA from 1 species